CCAGACUCCUACGGGAGGCAGCAGUGGGGAAUAUUGCACAAUGGGCGGAAGCCUGAUGCAGCAACGCCGCGUGCGGGAUGACGGCCUUCGGGUUGUAAACCGCUUUCGCCUGUGACGAAGCGUGAGUGACGGUAAUGGGUAAAGAAGCACCGGCUAACUACGUGCCAGCAGCCGCGGUGAUACGUAGGGUGCGAGCGUUGUCCGGAUUUAUUGGGCGUAAAGGGCUCGUAGGUGGUUGAUCGCGUCGGAAGUGUAAUCUUGGGGCUUAACCCUGAGCGUGCUUUCGAUACGGGUUGACUUGAGGAAGGUAGGGGAGAAUGGAAUUCCUGGUGGAGCGGUGGAAUGCGCAGAUAUCAGGAGGAACACCAGUGGCGAAGGCGGUUCUCUGGGCCUUUCCUGACGCUGAGGAGCGAAAGCGUGGGGAGCGAACAGGCUUAGAUACCCUGGUAGUCCACGCUGUAAACGGUGGGUACUAGGUGUGGGGUCCAUUCCACGGGUUCCGUGCCGUAGCUAACGCUUUAAGUACCCCGCCUGGGGAGUACGGCCGCAAGGCUAAAACUCAAAGGAAUUGACGGGGGCCCGCACGAG
rnacentral:rRNA from 1 species